rnacentral:snoRNA from 1 species
AGUGGAAAGUUCUGGCAGUGUUCUUAUACUGACUGUCUAGAGAAAGGAGGCAGAGUCAAACUGCCUCAUGUACACCUCAUUCCAGGUCCUGUGCCUGGUUUGUACUGUGUGAAUGGGGAGACAUAG